rnacentral:rRNA from 1 species
CUACGUGCCAGCAGCCGCGGUAAUACGGAGGGUGCGAGCGUUAAUCGGAAUAACUGGGCGUAAAGGGCACGCAGGCGGUGACUUAAGUGAGGUGUGAAAGCCCCGGGCUUAACCUGGGAAUUGCAUUUCAUACUGGGUCGCUAGAGUACUUUGGGGAGGGGUAGAAUUCCACGUGUAGCGGUGAAAUGCGUAGAGAUGUGGAGGAAUACCGAAGGCGAAGGCAGCCCCUUGGGAAUGUACUGACGCUCAUGUGCGAAAGCGUGGGGAGCAAACAGGAUUAGAUACCCUGGUAGUCCACGCUGUAAACGAUGUCGAUUUGGGGGUUGAGCUUUGAGCUUGGCGCCCGUAGCUAACGUGAUAAAUCGACCGCCUGGGGAGUACGGCCGCAAGGUUAAAACUCAAAUGAAUUGACGGGGGCCCGCACAAGCGGUGGAGCAUGUGGUUUAAUUCGAUGCAACGCGAAGAACCUUACCUACUCUUGACAUCCAGA